rnacentral:lncRNA from 10 species
CCGAGACCCGCCUCCGAACCAGGCCCCACCUCCUGAGCCAGGCCCCCGCCCCCGAUUCUGACUCCGCCCUCUCUGUCCUUCGGUGGAGACUCCGGGAAAAACCUGCCUCCCAGUCUGCCCUCUCUCCGUCUGUCUGUGCUUGUUUUUCUACGUUUAUCCCUGUCGCUUUCCCCACUUAUUCUGCAGGCAUGGCGCGCCCCCAGUGCCGGCUUGGUGCCAGGGCUGGGAGAUCCGGGGGUGAAUCGUGAGCCCGGCCCACAGCGAGCUUGCAGUCUAGAGAUCAAGGCAGUCUUGUCCACAACCUGCUGUCACAUAAAGCAAAUGUAGCUGGUGUAGCACCAGGGGCUGCAAUCAAGUGCGGUGGGGCGGCAAUAGUGACCACGGAAAUAAUCAGAAUUGCUUUUAAUUCAGCUCCUACUAUAUUCCCGCAUCCCUGAGCCUCACAAUCAUCCUCCAAGGAUGUUCGCUUUGGCAGAUGAUUAGAAUACGUGCUGACUUGAUAGCCACAACUGUCCUGAUAAGAAAGUACGCCGGCCUGGCUGGGCAUGGUGGCUCACGCCUGUAAUCCGAGGAUUUUGGGAGGCCCAGGCGGGCGGAUCACUUGAUGUCAGGAGUUCGAGACCAGCCUGUCCAACAUGGUGAAACCCCGUCUGUACUAAAAAUACAAUAAUUAGCCGAGCAUGAUGGCAUGUGCCUGUAAUCCCAGCUACUCGGGAGGCUGAGGCACGAGAAUCGCUUGAACCUGGAAGGCAGAGGUUGCAGUUACUUUCCCGACAUUGCACCACUGCACUCCAGCCUUGGCGACAAGAGCGAAAUUUUGUCUCAAAAAAGAAAGAAAGAAAGCACUCAGGCCUGACCCAGGACCACAGCAGUGGACAUGGAGGGAGGAGGCUGGGGGUAGUUGGAUUGGUAUGAUAUGUCACUGAGUAAACGAAGGAAGGGACAGAAAGAGAACUCCAAAGUGUCAAAAGCCUGGACAACAGAGAGAAAGCAUCCUUGUCCUAUCAUUUAAAGCACCUGUUGGGCCAAAUAGGGAGCACCUUUCAGAAUCCAUGUGCACAAGAUCUCAGCAAUUCUACGUCCAAGAAUGUAACCUACAUCCAAGAAUGUACUGGAAUUUAAUUCCACAUCCAAGAAUCCCCAUAGGUAGCAAAGAUGUAUAUUUAAGGGUAUUCUCUCAGCUUUGUUUUUAUGUUAGGAGAUUGGGAACAACCUAAAUGCCCAUCAGCUGGUGACUGGCUAGGUUAACUAUUCACAAAUGGAAUACUAGGUAGCCUCCUAAAAGAGGAAAGCAAUUCUACAUAUCCUGAUACAGUGUGGUCACCAGAUAGAUGGCUAAGAUACAAAUAAAACAAACAAGUUGCAGUGUUAGAGUAUGCUAUGUAUCACUCCUUUUUAAGGACAAAAAGAGGAUAUACUUUAACUUUUUAAGAUACCAAAGUAUUUAUUUAUUUAAAAUUUUUUUCACAGAAUUGUUAUAGCAUGUAGAACCAAAAAUUAUUUACAAAUGAAAUUAUUCAAUGUCUGAGAUUUGUGUCAAAAUAAUGGUAUGGGGGUUUAGUGAGUAAGCAUGUAGGUAGAACAAGAUUGUCCAUGAGCUGAUAGUUGUUGAAGCUGGGUGAUCACCUGGGUGUUUUAUACUAUUUGGGUGUUAAACUAUUUUUUUUUCUAUUCUUGUGUAUGUGUCAAAUUUCCACUUAAGAAAAUGGGGGAAAAUGGUGUCAGCCCUCCAUUCCAGCUGAACACACCAUGUUAGUUCAUGCCCCAUCACACCACUCUUCUAGCCAUCUGUCAAUCUUCUCUGCCUGGCAAAUUUCUACUCUUUCAUCAGGACCCAGGAUAAUUAUCACCUUCUCUGAGAGGGCUUUUCCAACCCCUAUAGUCAGAAUCAUUCCUUCUCUAUGCUUGGGGCCCCCUGAGAAAUGUCUCUAAUCCUGUCACAAAUACAUAUUCCAGUGUCAUUAUCCAUCUCCCUAGUAGACAGUGAACAUUUCCAUCAAUGAGACAAUGUCUCAACUAUCUUCUUUCUGUCUCAACCCUUAACCCUGGCACUUAAUACUUGUUUGUUAAAUUCAUGGGUCAGGUCUAGUGAAGACAAUGAUUAGUUGUUUGGUUUGAUACAUACUGACCUUGAGAAGUCAAAGGGAUAUAGGAGGAGAGAAAGUGAAUGAGGAACUGAUGUUACUGAGCCUGUGCUAGGAGACUGCUGGGGCAAGGAAUAGAGUGAGGAGAAAGGAGGCAAGGCUCCUGCUGGCAAGGACCUCACUUUCAUUUCAGCUGGGGAAGAGCAUGGAAAGAUGUCAUUCUAGAGCAUGGUAAGUGCCAUGGAUGAAAUAGACAAGGCAAAACUUAUUCCACUUCAGCAAAGCGAGUGUCAAUAUUCUACUUAUGGAUGAGUGGAUGAACACAUGUUCAGAUGAAAUCACUUGUGCAAAGUUUACAGCUGUUAGUGCUGAACAGGAACAAGCCUUUGUCUGCCAUCAUGUGCGGCCAUGCUUUUUCCUCUGCCCUUCACUGCCAUUCGACAUGCAGGUGACACUCUGGAGCUCGGACCGAACAUUCAGAUUUGGAGGUCAUUCUACAGGAGAUAGUUGAAAUGAGGGGAGGGGAGAAGGUCUCCUAGAAACCACAAGAGAGGGAAAGUAACAGCAGCUGACUUUCAUUGAGUACUUAGUACACUCCAGACCCCAUACUAAGCAUUUUUUUUUUUGAGAUGGAGUCUCGCUCUGUUGCCCUGGCUGGAGUGCAGUGGUGCAAUCUCGGCUCACUGCAACCUCCUCCUCUUGGGUUCAAGCGAUUCUCCUGCCUCAGCCUCCCAAGUAGCUGGGACUACAGGUGUGUGCCACCACGCCCAGCUAAUUUUUUGUAUUUUUAGUAGAGCCAGCAUUUCAUCGUGUUAGUCAGGAUGGUCUUGAUCUCCUGACCUCAUGAUCUGCCCGCCUCAGUCUCCCAAAGUGCUGGGAUUACAGGCGUGAGCCACCGCACCUGGCCCAUACUAAGCCUUUUACACUUUUAAAAGUAAAAGUGAAAUCACUUUGCACAAGUGAUUUCAUCUGAACAUGUGUUCCUCCACUCAUCCAUAAGUAGAAUAUUGACACUUGCUUUGCUGAAGUGGAAUAAGUUUUGCCUUGUCAAUUUGUUUAUUUAUUUAUUUAUUUAUUUAUUUAUUUAUUUAUUCUAUUAUAUAUUUAUUUAUUCCAUAUAACAACCCUCAUUAAGUAGGAACUCUUUUUUGAGGGACAGGGUAUUACUGUGUUGCCCAGGCUAGUCUUGAACUUCUGGCCUGUGGUGUUCCUCCUGCCUUGGCCCCACAGAGUGCUGAGAUUACAGGCUUCAGCCACCAUGCCCGGUCUAAAGUAGGAACUCUUAACAGUCCCACAUUUAUAGCCUGGGAAAAUGAAGCUUAGGAAGAAUGAAGUCAACAGAGCAACAGAGGUCACACACCUCGCAAACAGCAGAGCCCAAAUGUCUUACCAUGCACUACCCUUUUGAGAAAGAAGACUGAAAUCAGGAGCCUGGUAAGGAAAUGGUGGAAACAGUGAAAGAGAACAAGAUGCACUGUUUCAUUUGUGAGAUGAGAAACAGAAAAAAAGAAAUGUCCUGAGAGCCCAAGAAAGACUGUUAGGAAAGGAACUGGGGCAAGUGUCAGAGUCCAUGGAGAAACCCAGCAGGGAAACCUGAGGGUCAUGGCAAUUGGCCAACACGAGGCGAUAAGGGACCUUUGAUGGAGCUAUUUUUGGUGGUGCUAACCUUCUUUGCUACAGGCUCACAACUGGAGCAUCUGCUUGCUUCCUCUGACCUGCCCCCUGGACUCAUGUUGUCAUUCUUCUCGCUCAACCUGUCUGCCUAGGGAAGAAGCCCUGGACUGUGUUUCCCCAAUCUCAGUAUUCCCAACCCUCCUGGCCCCCAACCCAGUACCUGCAGAGCUGACUCUAACCACCCAGUGCACCUCCCGCAGGCUGCAGCAGCCCCCAUCGAGGCCACUCAUUUACAGCACAGGCCCACACAGUCUGACAAAGGACAGCUGCAAUCCUCUGUCAACUGCAGUCCUUUCCCAGGCACAUGCUGGAUUGGGAAACAGGUGGGAGAAAAGAACAGGUAAGACGUUCCUGUGGGAGUGAGUUAGCCUGGCAUUUACUGUGCCUCUUUGUGAAGAGCAGCCAACCUUUUCUGGCUUAAUCAGACUUGCCUAGAGCACUUGAAAAGAAUAGCUCUGAAGUCCAUGUGAUUUUGCUUCCCCACCCCCACCCCAACCAUGACUGAUUGGAACUGGAUAGAUGUCUUCCUCAGGAGGAGGAGCCAAGGGCUGUUUCCUGUCCCUGGACUUUGGAAUUGGGCCACCUAGUCAGUGAGUGGCCAAGAACCCAAUGAGGCUGCCCCAUGAAGGGAGCUGAGCUCAGUCAAAGAGAUUCAUGGCAGAGCACUAGGGUUAAUAAAGGCCCACGAACUCUUGUUGCUGAAGGCUCUAGGGCUGCCCCAUCCCUGCCCUUCCUGAGAUUUGGUGGAUCACCUCUUCCUGGGUUUCCACAAGUCCUCUCUCUCUCUCUCAAUAACCUAUUAAAUUGGGGUGUGAGUGGAUUCCUGUCCCUUGCAUCCAAAGUCUCCUUGGCUAUAAUGGAGUUCUAUAGGAAUGAGAGCAAGGGGCAGGAGCCCAAGGGUAGGAGGUUCUAAGUUUAGGACUUUAGAAAUAACAUUGUUAAGUGUGUUGAUGUCUAAGUCAGAAUGGAGGUGAUUCCCUCAAGUUUCUAAGCAUCAUCCAUUCCAUUCUGUCCAACAG